AACUAAAAAUGCUUUGGGUUUCCUGCUUAACAAACAGGAAAUGGAAACGGAACUGCAUUAUUUGAAGGGCAAGCUGACCACCUUAUCCCAUCUACUUCCCAAGUCCUUUUGCAGAGUGACUUGUUUGUGAUGGCAGGCAGGAUUAUUGGUCAUUCUUUCCUCCAUGGUGGGCCUUCAUUAGCAGGUGUGAGCCCCGCAAUUGUACAUGUAUUAUUAGGUGGCUCCCCACAAACAGCAACCAUCACAAUUGAAGAUGUGGCUGACAUCGACAUUAGGGAGACAAUACAGAUGCUUGCUGUAGGUGAUUCAAAGAAUGAUUUUACUGAGGGUCAAAAGGCAGCCAUUAACCAACUGGCAAUGUCUUGGGACCUUCCAGUGCUGACUACAACCAACCGCACUUGGCUGUUACACAAUCUUCUUCAGCAUGCAGUGCUGACAAGAACCUGGCGACAAGUAAAACAACUCAAACAAGGACUGAAGGAGUCAAUGGUAUGGCAGUUAUUGGAGGCCCGACCUGAUGUGGCAUCUGUGAUAUUUCCAAGACAGUCAAUGGCUGACUGCAGUACACAGGUGAUUUAUUGAG